rnacentral:pre_miRNA from 1 species
UACUUUACUCGUGACUUAUGUUUUUAAUUUUUUUCAAAAAAUUUUCAAAUAAGACGAAUGGUCAAAGUUGGGCGCUGAAAACCAAGGCUGCACUUAUU